AAAUUGAAGAGUUUGAUCAUGGCUCAGAUUGAACGCUGGCGGCAGGCCUAACACAUGCAAGUCGAACGGUAACAGGAAGCAGCUUGCUGCUUCGCUGACGAGUGGCGGACGGGUGAGUAAUGUCUGGGAAACUGCCUGAUGGAGGGGGAUAACUACUGGAAACGGUAGCUAAUACCGCAUAACGUCGCAAGACCAAAGAGGGGGACCUUCGGGCCUCUUGCCAUCGGAUGUGCCCAGAUGGGAUUAGCUUGUUGGUGGGGUAACGGCUCACCAAGGCGACGAUCCCUAGCUGGUCUGAGAGGAUGACCAGCCACACUGGAACUGAGACACGGUCCAGACUCCUACGGGAGGCAGCAGUGGGGAAUAUUGCACAAUGGGCGCAAGCCUGAUGCAGCCAUGCCGCGUGUAUGAAGAAGGCCUUCGGGUUGUAAAGUACUUUCAGCGGGGAGGAAGGGAGUAAAGUUAAUACCUUUGCUCAUUGACGUUACCCGCAGAAGAAGCACCGGCUAACUCCGUGCCAGCAGCCGCGGUAAUACGGAGGGUGCAAGCGUUAAUCGGAAUUACUGGGCGUAAAGCGCACGCAGGCGGUUUGUUAAGUCAGAUGUGAAAUCCCCGGGCUCAACCUGGGAACUGCAUCUGAUACUGGCAAGCUUGAGUCUCGUAGAGGGGGGUAGAAUUCCAGGUGUAGCGGUGAAAUGCGUAGAGAUCUGGAGGAAUACCGGUGGCGAAGGCGGCCCCCUGGACGAAGACUGACGCUCAGGUGCGAAAGCGUGGGGAGCAAACAGGAUUAGAUACCCUGGUAGUCCACGCCGUAAACGAUGUCGACUUGGAGGUUGUGCCCUUGAGGCGUGGCUUCCGGAGCUAACGCGUUAAGUCGACCGCCUGGGGAGUACGGCCGCAAGGUUAAAACUCAAAUGAAUUGACGGGGGCCCGCACAAGCGGUGGAGCAUGUGGUUUAAUUCGAUGCAACGCGAAGAACCUUACCUGGUCUUGACAUCCACAGAACUUUCCAGAGAUGGAUUGGUGCCUUCGGGAACUGUGAGACAGGUGCUGCAUGGCUGUCGUCAGCUCGUGUUGUGAAAUGUUGGGUUAAGUCCCGCAACGAGCGCAACCCUUAUCCUUUGUUGCCAGCGGUCCGGCCGGGAACUCAAAGGAGACUGCCAGUGAUAAACUGGAGGAAGGUGGGGAUGACGUCAAGUCAUCAUGGCCCUUACGACCAGGGCUACACACGUGCUACAAUGGCGCAUACAAAGAGAAGCGACCUCGCGAGAGCAAGCGGACCUCAUAAAGUGCGUCGUAGUCCGGAUUGGAGUCUGCAACUCGACUCCAUGAAGUCGGAAUCGCUAGUAAUCGUGGAUCAGAAUGCCACGGUGAAUACGUUCCCGGGCCUUGUACACACCGCCCGUCACACCAUGGGAGUGGGUUGCAAAAGAAGUAGGUAGCUUAACCUUCGGGAGGGCGCUUACCACUUUGUGAUUCAUGACUGGGGUGAAGUCGUAACAAGGUAACCGUAGGGGAACCUGCGGUUGGAUCACCUCCUUACCUUAAAGAAGC
rnacentral:rRNA from 4 species